UGAGAGUUUUUUUUAAUGCUUUCCCUUGUAUUAAUUCUAUAAGUAACUUACAAACCAAAUUGAAACCCUUGCCGAUGACCCCAUUCCUGUUUUGUUGACUCUUUUCUAGUCUCCGUUUUGCCAUAUACAGUGCGCACAACAAAAGAAACAGACGCAAGUGUGGACCUAGCCUCCAAAUUUACAACUGAGAAGAAAUGUCUGACAUCAAGCUGACACUCAGCAGGCAGCAUUGUCGGUUGUGUGGGUUUUGGCAUUGACUUGAGAUCUCAGUCAGAGAGCCUUCAGACUUGGACACCCCUGCUCUCAGAGGGGGGAUUUACUAGGUAUAGGAGAAAAGCAGGAUGAAGAAUGAUUGAUGGAGGAGUGAACAGGAAGAACAAUCAGACAGCUCAGAAAAGGAUCUGAGGGAUUGGAUGAAAGAUGCCAGGGGUAUUCCGGGAACAAAAAGCAAGACCUCAUUCAUCUCCCAUGUAUAGGAAUUGAAUAUGUAAAAAUUAGUGGCCUUUCUUAAAAUAAAAGAGUCCUAACUGUUAACUGAAAAAGAAUGAGUGGCCCCGGAGGUAUGCUAGUAAUAGUUGUGACAUUGAAUCAAUGAUUGGAGCCUUUGGACUGUUGAAAGGUAUGGAUAACAAGGAACAUCAGGCCCCGACCCUUGGAUACCUACCCAGAAGAAAAUGGGCGGUAGAUGGGUAAAAGGUAAUUUUUGCAUGGGGCAGUGCAGCCACUGACUGGAGAAACCCAAUUCAAAAGAAGAGAAAGACUGAGCAUGGUGCCUGAUUAGCAUGAGAGGCGAGAGGGACUUUUAACCAAUAAGGGGUGGAAUAUUAAUUAAUGAAUAAAUUGUGUAACUCUCAACCAAUGGGCACUGAUUCCUUUGUCAAAAUAUAUAAAUAGCUUAAAGUUGCAAUCAUUGGAGUGCUUGAUUUGUGGAGACUUCCACUGAGUACCUGUAAUGGAUGGGAACAUAGCUGAGAGUUUAUUCUCAAUGGUGACUGAGAGACAUAACAAAGUAGUUGUUUGCCACAGUGUAUUAGGUAGAGUAUUAGGUGACUGUUUGUCAUAAAGAGGCAGGAAAAUAUAGGUGUGCAGCUGUUCUGUGACCUUCAUAAUUGGCUGCACUGGGGUGCCUGGCCAAUGCUCUCAGUGUGGGCAACGGUGAGAUCAUGAAACUUCACGGUCCCAUGAGAAAACAGAGAUCUGGCAUAAAGCCAGAUGUUUUUCUAAGGGUAUAAAAGCAGGACUCUCUUGUGGCCAUGGGAGAAGCCUCACCUAUGGGUGGAUGCACAGCAUAGGAAUUUUCCCAAUUACCUGAGACUCCUGGCAUCAGCUGCAAUGGGGCUUCCCAGCUGGAAGUGUGGGCCUGAAUGAUGAUUCAUUUGUAAUUGGUGAUGGAUUUCUUCUUAAUCUCUGUUCUUUCUAUGCAGCAAUGAUUUAAUGCAUUGCUAACUUUCUUCGGUACUUAUAUACCUGUAUCUCUGAUUUGCCUUAUUGUACUUAUUCACUAUAUAUAGAGAGAUAUUUACCUAAUUCACAUUAGUGUGCUUGUUUUAGUGUGCUUAUUGGCUUUAGUGUGCUUGUUUAAUAAACUCUGCAUAUUAUACA